rnacentral:rRNA from 1 species
GACGUAGGAGGCAAGCGUUAUCCGGAUUUAUUGGGCGUAAAGCGCGUGCAGGCGGUUUGGUAAGUUGGAUGUGAAAUCUCUCGGCUUAACCGGGAGAGGUCGUUCAAAACUACCAGACUAGAGAUUGGUAGAGGAAGGUGGAAUUCCGGGUGUAGUGGUGAAAUGCGUAGAUAUCCGGAGGAACACCAGUGGCGAAAGCGGCCUUCUGGACCAUUUCUGACGCUAAGAUGCGAAAGCUAGGGUAGCAAACGGG